AUUGAACGCUGGCGGCAGGCCUAACACAUGCAAGUCGAACGAGUGGCGGACGGGUGAGUAAUGUCUGGGAAACUGCCUGAUGGAGGGGGAUAACUACUGGAAACGGUAGCUAAUACCGCAUACCAUCAGAUGUGCCCAGAUGGGAUUAGCUUGUUGGUGGGGUAAAGGCUCACCUAGGCGACGAUCCCUAGCUGGUCUGAGAGGAUGACCAGCCAAACUGGAACUGAGACACGGUCCAGACUCCUACGGGAGGCAGCAGUGGGGAAUAUUGAACAAUGGGAACAAGCCUGAGGCAGCCAUGCCGCGUGUAUGAAGAAGGCCUUCGGGUGGUAAAGUACUUUCAGCGGGGAGGAGUUACCCGCAGAAGAAGCACCGGCUAACUCCGUGCCAGCAGACGCGGUAAUAC
rnacentral:rRNA from 1 species